UAAACUUAAAAAAUCUGUCUCAAUGUCUGUUAUUUCUCUCCCCCCUCUAAAAUAUUGAAUGUCUGGUCGGUUACCUCAAGUCAUUUUUUGUUCAGAUUAUUAAGAUUACCUUCCCCAUCUUUUCACAUUACCACGGUGCAGCAGGCCCACUUCAAAAGUUAAAAAAUCUUAAACCACUCUGUUCAUGUUUUUAUAAUGGUAUUUAAUAGGACUAAAGCUAUGAUAGAUCCGGCACAAAUUUGAUUUACUCAAGAACAGCCAAUAUGCAAAAUUGUCCGUUAUGUUCAACAGAUAUUAAAUGUCCAUGCUGGUAGGUAAAUGUGUCUGUCAGGCACUUGGUAAGCAGCAAAG
rnacentral:lncRNA from 1 species